AUUGAACGCUGGCGGCAGGCCUAACACAUGCAAGUCGAACGAGUGGCGGACGGGUGAGUAAUGUCUGGGAAACUGCCCGAUGGAGGGGGAUAACUACUGGAAACGGUAGCUAAUACCGCAUACCAUCGGAUGUGCCCAGAUGGGAUUAGCUUGUAGGUGAGGUAACGGCUCACCUAGGCGACGAUCCCUAGCUGGUCUGAGAGGUUGCCCAGCAACACGGGACAGGAGCCACGGUACAGACUCCUACGGAAGGCAGCAGUUGUGAAUAUUGCACAAUUGGCGCAAGCGUGAUGCAGCCAUGCCGCGUGUAUGAAGAAGGCCUUCGGGUUGUAAAGUACUUUCAGCGGGGAAGCGUUACCCGCAGAAGAAGCACCGGCUAACUCCGUGCCAGCAGCCGCGGUAAUAC
rnacentral:rRNA from 1 species